rnacentral:tRNA from 1 species
AGUAAAGUGUCUGAUUUUUAGGUAUUAAACUGUAAAUUUAAUUAAGAAUGACAUAUUCCUUUAUUA